rfam:Salmo salar isolate Sally breed double haploid chromosome ssa14, whole genome shotgun sequence.
UAUACUCACUACUGUAAAUCGCUCUGGAUAAGAGCGUCUGCUAAAUGACUAAAA